rnacentral:precursor_RNA from 8 species
CAUUUCUUUGGCAAUCUGCCCAGCGAUCUUACCUCAUUCAGUGGUGUUGCGAUGCUGGAAGCGCUCAUCACAACCUGCAUGAAUGAGGUAAGGUCAUGGAGCAUGCGCAACCAACGCCUCA